GAGAUCCCCCAGCUUACCUGCCUCCUCUCCACAGAGGAGAUGGGGCGAUGCAGGCUUGCCACUCAGCUGUUCCUAAAUCCCUGCGUCCUGCUGCUGAGUGGAGUGGUGGGGCAGGCUGCCGGUGCCGGAUCUUGAGGACAUCAUCACGGCCUGCCAUGCCCUCAAGUCACUUGCUGAGCCGGCUACCAGCCCUGGGGGAAAUGCGGAGGCCUUGGCCACAGAAGGAGGGGACAAGAGAGCCAAAGAGGAGAAGGCGGCCACCAGCACGCUGAGCAGGCUGGAGCAGGCGGGACGCAGCACACCCAUAGGCCCCAGCAGGGACCUCAAGGAGGAGCGCGGCGGUCAGGCCCAGAGUGCGGCCAGCGGUGCAGAGCAGACAGAGAAAGCCGAUGCGCCCCGGGAGCCGCCGCCUGUGGAGCUCAAGCCAGACCCCACGAGUGGCAUGGCUGCCGCAGAAGCUGAGGCUGCUUUGUCCGAGAGCUCGG
rnacentral:sRNA from 1 species